CUGAGGCGUGACGACGAGGCACUACGGUGCUGAAGCAACAAAUGCCCUGCUUCCAGGAAAAGCCUCUAAGCAUCAGGUAACAUCAAAUCGUACCCCAAACCGACACAGGUGGUCAGGUAGAGAAUACCAAGGCGCUUGAGAGAACUCGGGUGAAGGAACUAGGCAAAAUGGUGCCGUAACUUCGGGAGAAGGCACGCUGACACGUAGGUGAAGUGAUUUACUCAUGGAGCUGAAGUCAGUCGAAGAUACCAGCUGGCUGCAACUGUUUAUUAAAAACACAGCACUGUGCAAACACGAAAGUGGACGUAUACGGUGUGACGCCUGCCCGGUGCCGGAAGGUUAAUUGAUGGGGUCAGCGCAAGCGAAGCUCCUGAUCGAAGCCCCGGUAAACGGCGGCCGUAACUAUAACGGUCCUAAGGUAGCGAAAUUCCUUGUCGGGUAAGUUCCGACCUGCACGAAUGGCGUAAUGAUGGCCAGGCUGUCUCCACCCGAGACUCAGUGAAAUUGAACUCGCUGUGAAGAUGCAGUGUACCCGCGGCAAGACGGAAAGACCCCGUGAACCUUUACUAUAGCUUGACACUGAACAUUGAGCCUUGAUGUGUAGGAUAGGUGGGAGGCUUUGAAGUGUGGACGCCAGUCUGCAUGGAGCCGACCUUGAAAUACCACCCUUUAAUGUUUGAUGUUCUAACGUGGACCCGUGAUCCGGGUUGCGGACAGUGUCUGGUGGGUAGUUUGACUGGGGCGGUCUCCUCCUAAAGAGUAACGGAGGAGCACGAAGGUUGGCUAAUCCUGGUCGGACAUCAGGAGGUUAGUGCAAUGGCAUAAGCCAGCUUGACUGCGAGCGUGACGGCGCGAGCAGGUGCGAAAGCAGGUCAUAGUGAUCCGGUGGUUCUGAAUGGAAGGGCCAUCGCUCAACGGAUAAAAGGUACUCCGGGGAUAACAGGCUGAUACCGCCCAAGAGUUCAUAUCGACGGCGGUGUUUGGCACCUCGAUGUCGGCUCAUCACAUCCUGGGGCUGAAGUAGGUCCCAAGGGUAUGGCUGUUCGCCAUUUAAAGUGGUACGCGAGCUGGGUUUAGAACGUCGUGAGACAGUUCGGUCCCUAUCUGCCGUGGGCGCUGGAGAACUGAGGGGGGCUGCUCCUAGUACGAGAGGACCGGAGUGGACGCAUCACUGGUGUUCGGGUUGUCAUGCCAAUGGCACUGCCCGGUAGCUAAAUGCGGAAGAGAUAAGUGCUGAAAGCAUCUAAGCACGAAACUUGCCCCGAGAUGAGUUCUCCCUGAGACUUUAGGUCUCCUGAAGGAACGUUGAAGACGACGACGUUGAUAGGCCGGGUGUGUAAGCGCAGCGAUGCGUUGAGCUAACCGGUACUAAUGAACCGUGAGGCUUAACCUUAC
rnacentral:rRNA from 2 species